UAAAACGCUACAAUACGCCCCAGUUGACAAUAAGCCCCACUGCGCCUACACACACACAAAUACAGAUAUCAGACAAGCAGUGACACGAACGGUAGCGCGACAGUCGCCCGAAAACAUGGCUACUGGUUAGACGUGAUAAUUGCGAUUUAUUAGGAAAAAAAUCUAAAUCUUUUGUAAAGUGCUUCGGAACAUAUUGCGAUGCCGCGUAAUUAUUAAAGAAAAAGUAUGCAUAAAGUACGCAGCGAGGAUAUAGUAGUCAAUGAGUGUACAAAAUACCAUCAAGAACACUUAAAAGACAUCUGUUAACAGGAAAGCUGAAAGUUCCACUCAAGAGACCAUGUGUUUUUUCAGGAGGAUAGCCAAACUAAUAGGCAAAGCUUGGGGAAAGGCGGAAAAACCCGUAUGAACCGACCGCUAUACCAGAAAAACAUAUAUGCACAGCAAAUACUGCAUUUGAAAAAAACAACUCAAAAAUGUCCUGAUAUACCAUCAGGAUCUGCAGAACAAACUCCAACGAAAUUGUUGACUAAAAUUUACUCCCCAUACCUAAGUUAACAGUAAUGAUGUUAAACAAAAACAAAAUGCUGUAGUGUGGACGUCUCAAGAAAAUAUCCAGAAAAAAAUAUGAAGGAAAGGAAAAAGCGACAAAAAAAAA
rnacentral:lncRNA from 1 species